AACCCAUUGCUGGAUCUUCAGCCGUCAAUCAGCAGCGGCAGAAGCUAAAACCUAGAGCUCGGGCCCCAGGCAUGAGACCGAAGUCCUGAGAUAAGAAACCAGGCACAAGCCACAGGAAAACUGUCUGCUGCCACCACACUUUGCUGCCUCCGCUGCGACCUUCAGCAUGAAGCUCAGUCACCACUCCCAAAGAAGGCAAAAAGAGCUGCUCAAGGAAGCCGUUAUUGAAUCAGAUGCUGAAACACCAGGAGAGACAGCCUACUCGCAUAGAGUCUGAACUCUAUGUUUAUGUGACCCAUGCUGCUAAUCUUGAUUAUCUACUCAACGCCAUCCAUGAAGAGGGAACCUCAGAUGGCAGCCUGCUGGCUAUUAGACUGUUCAUUCUUUGGCUCAAGGCAUCCAAAACACCAAAGAAAACUCUGACAUCUGCCAAUUAAGGAGUAAAACUGCCCCACCCCA